rnacentral:lncRNA from 1 species
AUGGCGUCAAUACGUGAGGGGCAGUUCUGACCCUUUAACUGAAAGCAAAUGAAUUCCUUAAAGCUAUACUGGGCUUUCGAGUGUUGGGCUCAAGGUCGAACUUCCUACUGAGCCGAAGUGAAUGACCCCCUUGGCGUUUCAAAGGGUCUCCAGUAGCAGACCCAAAUUCGAACCUCAACACUGGGAAAAAAUUCUCAUUAUGCAAAUCGACCACUUAACACAAUUACAUAGAAAUCAAACUUUUCAACUAAACUACUAUUUCUAGCAAAACUAAAGGAAUAAUUGUAUGAUGAUAAUCCAUCAUUUAAAGGAAAAUAUAACCAAAGGACCAACGAAAUGUGAACAACCAACAUGAUUUAAACAAAGUAGAAAACACCCUAUAGCCUAUUCCAACAAGGAUAUAGAAAAAGUCCCACGUACAUCCAUACUUGAAACAACUGAACAAUGACAAAUACCCCAUUCCCUAUAUUGAUGCUUAAUAAAUCCAGUGGAACUCACAAAAAAAAACAUAGCCCCAAACUUAGAAUCUAAAUCAUAAUCAAUGAUUUGAAUUAAACUACACUAUAACACUUUGAAAGAUAUUCAAGCAUGAAUAUGAAUACUCUAAUCUAUUAACAUAUAGAUAUACCCAAAACAAUCAAUCUAUUUACAUCAUUACAACAGAGUGAGUAGCUAUACCACUAGAAAACUGUACACAUAUUCGAACAUAAAUGAACUCAAGCAAUCUUCAUUAGAUAAGCAUCAAAUUUUGCAUCUCUCCCGUCAGAAAUGGUACCUGAUUACAGCAAGAAUAACAGAGAAAAUAAGCUUGAAGUUACGAUGAAGGCAACAACAAUAGACCAGCAGCAAAGGAAAUCAACCAACAGCUUCUAAUUCAAACCAUGUUUCAGCUUUUACAGACCAAAAACAAACCCAGGAAUUCCUGAACAUAAACUUUUAAACCAAAAGUCUAAUGAAAGAAAGAAAAUGAGCAAAGUUCAGGACUCUCUAAACUGGAUUGCAAAGAAGUUUUUCAGGUUUUUUAUGGUGUGUAUCGUGUGUGCUAAGUAAGGAAAGACCUUAUUUAUAAGCCAUGGGUAUGCUGUGUGCCUUUCUAGGCAAGGCAAUGGUAUUUUCCUAAAAUACCCUCAUAGGGCAUCUUUUAAAAUUGAUUUUUGUACAACUGUCCUUUUCUUUCAAAUAUAUUCAUUUUUCAGCCUAUUUUCCCUAACAAUUUUGGGUAACUGUCCAUUUAGGAAGCUUCCCAAUUAGUUACUAAAUAUUCCCCUGGUUAAACAAUCCCCAAACUACCCGUAAAACUCCUAAUUAUUCAAUUAACACCCUGAAACUUCUGAAUAAUCAUAAACAACAAACAAACAAGCUAAUAUCGUCAAAUGGAUUGAAAACAAAGGAAAUUCAAAGCUGAAGAAUAUAUCUAACAACUAUUGAAUGAACCUAAGCGACUAAACGGUGUCAACUCAUAAUAAAUUGUUCUGAUACAAGGAAAUCCCUAAUGAAACUCUCACAACUGCUUGGAAUAAUUAAUGCAAUCUAAAACAAAAUUAGUAACUGAACAUGUCCAAAUAACUCACAACAAAGUAACUGAACCCUAAAUUAUUCUACUAUAAUCAGAAAAUACCAUUGGAAUAAGAAUUAAUUCGAAGGUUGAAUUGAACUGCUUUAUGCGAUGAAACUCCCAUCCGAAAAUGACACAUAGAACAUAUAAUUCAAAUAUUGAAAUAAGCUGUCUAAAUAUGCAAACAAACAAAUGACGCAACUAACAAGAUUUGAGAGAAGAAAGGAUAAGAAACAACAACAGAAAAGAAAAUACAGAUGAAUAAAUGGCUGAGAUUCAGGAAAUACCAACUUAAUCAGCCGGAUGAACAAAUGAUAUAGAAGUAGAAAUUUGGCCAAGUUCAAGUUUUCGACGAGGCUUGAAACUGACACAAACGAUUAUUCUAAUCAAGAAUAACCUGUUUGGACGAGCUUUCAACCUGGAUGAACAAAAUUGCAAAGAAAAUCUCAAAACAAGAAUUAGGUCAAAAUUGACCUUCCAAAUUCGACAAGUUUGAGGGGCCGUUUGGGAAAACCGGUGAAAUGUUUAAGAAGAGGAGAGUACAUGGGCGGCAUGGUAUCAAUCUAGGGAGGUUUGGAGCAACUAAGGUUUUGGGAUUCAGUUCUUAGAUCUAAGAUUAAGAAGAUUGAGAAAGAUUCGAGGGGAACUGUAUUGAGAUUUAGAAAGAGGAUGCUGUUUGCCCAAUUUUGAUUUCAUUGGAGAAUGCCGCAUGUUUUAUGGGCGAGUCCCAGUUCGCUCAAUUUCACUUUCACUGGAGAAAGCUGCGUGUUUUAUGGGCGAGUCCCAGUUUGCUCAAUCUUUCUUUUUAUGGAGAUUGUUUCUUGAUCGUUGAUCUGUACUAAGCCAUUUCUGUUAUUUGUGAUACGUAGCGGCUUAGAGAGUUUUGCUCGGUCAUUACUUGCGAUAUGGCACGCUACGGGACCAUUUUCUAGAGUGUUUGGGCGGCGUUUGUCCGUUGCUCGCGUACCUAUGCGAGUGCUCACUUUCCAGUUUUGAACCAACAAAAGAGUGAAGAUAAACCAAUGAAAUUAUCAGUUAUCUAGGCCUAGCAAGACGGUGAAAAGAGGAGCGGCGUUGUAGGGUUACUCGUUCUGCCUAGUACUCGAAAAUCGGUUUCUGAUUUGGCAGCCACAUUUAGCUUCAUCAUUUAACUGCGCCUACACUUCUUGUGAGUUAGGCUUACCUCACCCUUUGGGACAGCGAGGCCGAGUCCGAGACCGAUAUGUUUACACAAUAAGGGAAACAUGUCAUGCUUUGUUUAUAAAUCAUCCAUCAUGCGUGAUACGAAAAUAAUGUGGGAUAUGCUUGAUUUUCCAAAGGGUCAUGCAGUAGGUUAUCAUCCCUUCCCCAAGGAUGGAAGUACGAGUGAAUAUACCGGGUGAAUACAUUGUAUGGGAUCGCAGUCAUGCCAAGCACACAGUGGUCGUGGUUCUACUUAAACCGUUCAUAUGACUCAUUAAACCUAUCGUUACGGGUGGGGCAUGGGUCUCGUAUAGACAUCGGUAAUAUUUUUUUAUUUUGUGUAGGAAUUUGACCUGGAUUGAUACGUUUAUUUCAAAAAUUUAUUUAGCAUUCUUUUCAAGUUGGCAUUGUUACUGAGAUGGUAAGGUUGUAAGAACCCUGAAGUAAUACUUGACUAUUCUAGAUCUAACGGAAACUAAAGAAUUUUGCUGAGAAAUCCCCAUAGACGACGCCAAAUUAUUUGACCAAAAAGUGUUAAGCUUUUUUAUUAAACCAAUUAAUGAUUAAAUAGAUGAUAAAUCUUAGCUAAACAUAAUCGACUUUAGAUCUAGAUAUCAUGGGUAUUAAAAUAAGAGAGAUCGAGUUUGCAACAUUUCCUAGGAUGAUUGAAAGAUAUUAGAUGUAAAUAACAAGUGCCCUCUUAUGACUCUGCUCUUUCUCACUCGUCCAAGUACAACGUUCAACUGUAAGUCUUCUGAUGGACUGAUCUCGACAGUAACCGAAAUAAUCAUCGCCAUUAUGCCUCGUGGUCACGAUCAUAGCUUGGUUGACCUCUUAUCGUUCCUUUUAAUAAUAAUCAUAUGAUGAUCAAAUUUCGACUCAUACAAUUAUGGGUUGUAAAUUUUUCAUUAAAUGUAUUACUAUCUAAUUUUACAAGUCCAUCUAUAAACGAGUUUAGUUAUAGUGAUUAGUGAACAGUUUUAGUGAACAACUGCGCUGAUUCUGCAUCGUUUUCAAUUGGACAAAAGAAAAUGGUUAUUUCAACUUUACGUCUUUUACUUAAAGUGCGUAUCUAUUUGAAUCAUGGCAGACGAUGAGUAAUAUUCCCCUACAUAAAUAAUACAAUGGGUUACAAAUUCGACUUUGCUCAAAAUAAUACCCCUUUUAGAAGACGUAGUUGAGAUUAAAUGUCUGCCAACCCUUUCCAUGUCAAGUGAGGUAUCCGCCUCUAUUGUACACAAAAAUUGGGAACAAAAUUAAACACAGUCCAAAACGAAAGAACAUAUAUGGUACUACUCAGUGGUGGACUGUUUCGAACCUCAAGCGCGUCAAACCAAACAUAUUUUCAGCACCAUUGUUUGUUACACACGAAUGAUACUUAUAAGAGCCAUCUCAUUUUUCUUUUUUCUUUUUUUAAACAACGUGGAAGUAGAACAACUGUAAAAGAUUCAAACUCAUUUUAGCUAAUAUCCUGGUGCCACUUUUAUUAAGGCAAAUUUGAAAUUGAACACUACUAAUUUUGGCAGAAAAGAAACAAAACACUACAAAUAUAGACACUCCAUAAAAUAGCUGCAUUCGAGCAAAUACAGGAGAUCUAUUAACCAUAGGCAGUUCGAAAUAAAGCAAAAAAAAAUAUGUUUAAAUCUGGAAAUCCAUUCAUAGUGUCACACGAAAUCCAGAAAAAUGAUCGGACAAGUAGUUCAAAGCUUCAUGUACACAACGAAUGGAGAAAACCAAUAUUUAGUCACAUACCUGAUUUUAGCCAAUCUACACCCAAAAAAGGAAUAAAUCUCUGAAGUUGGGAAGGAGAUAAAAGCAAAAGAACAGCAUAACAACAACAGCAAAAACCAGGAGAAUCGACACCGUGUUCCAAAGAAAUUUAAGCCAAACCUUCAAACUCCAGUUUCCUUUCGAUUUUGUUUGAAAUCAUUUCUUUCAAAAUUUUCAAAUUCUAGCAUCCUGGUGUCUUUUUUUUUGUAUUUUUUUGUGUGUGUGUGAGCAUAGGUAUAGAGUCGAGAGACUAGAAUAUGAGAGAGGAGGUCUUCCUUUUUUCCUUGAAGGUCUGUUCUUGGUGAGGAACGAAGAAGCAGGAAGGAAAGAGGGGGGAGGAAGAGGGGGGAGGNN